rnacentral:rRNA from 1 species
CCUACGUGAGGCUGCAGUAGGGAAUCUUCCACAAUGGGCGAAAGCCUGAUGGAGCAACGCCGCGUGGGUGAAGAAGGUCUUCGGAUCGUAAAACCCUGUUGUUAGAGAAGAAAGUGCGUGAGAGUAACUGUUCACGUUUCGACGGUAUCUAACCAGAAAGCCACGGCUAACUACGUGCCAGCAGCCGCGGUAAUACGUAGGUGGCAAGCGUUAUCCGGAUUUAUUGGGCGUAAAGGGAACGCAGGCGGUCUUUUAAGUCUGAUGUGAAAGCCUUCGGCUUAACCGGAGUAGUGCAUUGGAAACUGGGAGACUUGAGUGCAGAAGAGGAGAGUGGAACUCCAUGGGUAGCGGUGAAAUGCGUAGAUAUAUGGAAGAACACCAGUGGCGAAAGCGGCUCUCUGGUCUGUAACUGACGCUGAGGUUCGAAAGCGUGGGUAGCAAACAGGAUUAGAUACCCGGGUAGUC